rnacentral:rRNA from 1 species
GACGAACGCUGGCGGCGUGCCUAAUACAUGCAAGUCGAGCGAGCUUGCCUAGAUGAAUUUGGUGCUUGCACCAGAUGAAACUAGAUACAAGCGAGCGGCGGACGGGUGAGUAACACGUGGGUAACCUGCCCAAGAGACUGGGAUAACACCUGGAAACAGAUGCUAAUACCGGAUAACAACACUAGACGCAUGUCUAGAGUUUAAAAGAUGGUUCUGCUAUCACUCUUGGAUGGACCUGCGGUGCAUUAGCUAGUUGGUAAGGUAACGGCUUACCAAGGCAAUGAUGCAUAGCCGAGUUGAGAGACUGAUCGGCCACAUUGGGACUGAGACACGGCCCAAACUCCUACGGGAGGCAGCAGUAGGGAAUCUUCCACAAUGGACGCAAGUCUGAUGGAGCAACGCCGCGUGAGUGAAGAAGGGUUUCGGCUCGUAAAGCUCUGUCGGUAGUGAAGAAAGAUAGAGGUAGUAACUGGCCUUUAUUUGACGGUAAUUACUUAGAAAGUCACGGCUAACUACGUGCCAGCAGCCGCGGUAAUACGUAGGUGGCAAGCGUUGUCCGGAUUUAUUGGGCGUAAAGCGAGUGCAGGCGGUUCAAUAAGUCUGAUGUGAAAGCCUUCGGCUCAACCGGAGAAUUGCAUCAGAAACUGUUGAACUUGAGUGCAGAAGAGGAGAGUGGAACUCCAUGUGUAGCGGUGGAAUGCGUAGAUAUAUGGAAGAACACCAGUGGCGAAGGCGGCUCUCUGGUCUGCAACUGACGCUGAGGCUCGAAAGCAUGGGUAGCGAACAGG